rnacentral:rRNA from 1 species
CGAAGGAUGCAAGCGUUAUCCGGAUUCAUUGGGUUUAAAGAGUGCGUAGGCGGACUGAUAAGUCAGUGGUGAAAUCUCUCAGCUUAACUGAGAAACUGCCAUUGAUACUGUUAGUCUAGAGUAUAGAUGACGUUGGCGGAAUAUGACAUGUAGUGGUGAAAUACUUAGAUAUGUCAUAGAACACCGAUUGCGAAGGCAGCUAACGAAACUAUAACUGACGCUGAGGCACGAAAGUGCGGGGAUCAAACAGGAUUAGAUACCCUGGUAGUCCGCACCGUAAACGAUGAUUACUCGUUGUUGGCGAUAUGACAGUCAGCGACCAAGCGAAAGCGAUAAGUAAUCCACCUGGGGAGUACGCCGGCAACGGUG